rnacentral:rRNA from 1 species
GACGAACGCUGGCGGCGUGCUUAACACAUGCAAGUCGAACGGAAAGGCCCUGCUUUUGUGGGGUGCUCGAGUGGCGAACGGGUGAGUAACACGUGAGUAACCUGCCCUUGACUUUGGGAUAACUUCAGGAAACUGGGGCUAAUACCGGAUAGGAUCUCCUGCUGCAUGGUGGGGGUUGGAAAGUUUCGGCGGUUGGGGAUGGACUCGCGGCUUAUCAGCUUGUUGGUGGGGUAGUGGCUUACCAAGGCUUUGACGGGUAGCCGGCCUGAGAGGGUGACCGGCCACAUUGGGACUGAGGUACGGACCAGACUCCUACGGGAGGCAGCAGUGGGGAAUAUUGCACAAUGGGCGGAAGCCUGAUGCAGCAACGCUGCGUGCGGGAUGACGGCCUUCGGGUUGUAAACCGCUUUCGCCUGUGACGAAGCGUGAGUGACGGUAAUGGGUAAAGAAGCACCGGCUAACUACGUG